UAAGGCAUGCAAGUCAAGGGGGCUCUUCGGAGCAACCGGCAGACGAGGUAGUAACACGUAGGUACGUACCCCGAAGUCUGGCAUAGCCGGCCGAAAGGUCGGGUAAUUCCGGAUGGUCCCGCAAUUUACUUUGUGGGUAAAGUUUUUUCGCUUUGGGAGCGGCCUGCGUCGUAUCAGCUUGUUGGUAAGGUAAAAGCUUACCAAGGCUAUGACGCGUAGGGGAGGUGAGAGCCUGACCCCCACCGAUGGGACUGCGACACGGCCCAUACUCCUACGGGAGGCUGCAGCCGAGAAUAUUCCGCAAUGGGCGAAAGCCUGACGGAGCGACGCCGCGUGAAGGAUGAAUGCCUUCGGGUUGUAAACUUCUUUUAUGAGGGAGGAAAUUUUGACGUUACCUCAUGAAUAAGGGGCUCCUAAUUCCGUGCCAGCAGGAGCGGUCAUACGGAAGCCUCAAGCGUUACCCGGAAUCACUGGGCGUAAAGGGUGUGUAGGCGGUGGUAUUAGUCUUCUGUUAAAGACUGGGGCUCAACCCCAGGAGUGCGGGAGAAACGGUACCACUAGAGGAUAUGAGAGGUGUGCGGAACUCAUGGUGUAGGGGUGAAAUCCGUUGAUAUCAUGGGGAACACCAAAUGCGAAGGCAGCACACUGGCAUAUUCCUGACGCUGAGACACG
rnacentral:rRNA from 1 species